AACGCAGCGAAGGGGCGAUAAGUAAUGUGAAUUGCAGAAUUCAGUGAAUCAUCGAAUCUUUGAACGCACAUUGCGCCCCCUGGUAUUCCGGGGGGGCAUGCCUGUUCGAGCGUCAUUUAUACCAAUCUAGCCUGGCUAGGUGUUGGGCUUUCGCCGUCUGGCGGGCCUUAAACCCAGUGGCGGUGCUCUUAGGCUCUACGCGUAGUAAUUUUCUCGCUAUAGGGUCCUGGGAGAUGCUUGCCAGCAACCCCAAAUUUUUCUAGGUUGACCUCGGAUCAGGUAGGGAUACCCGCUGAACUUAA
rnacentral:rRNA from 1 species